UCCUGUUUUACUCAAUUUUAAGUUGACCUGGAUGCACACAGUUGUUCUUUUUUUCUUUUUUGUUAAACACCCACAUUUAUACAUUUUCAUUUUAUACUAUGUAUGGAAUCGUGUUUAUUUGUGGCUGUAUACUGAAGCUCUGACUGUCAUUAUCUUUAACAGAGGUUUUCUUAAAGACUUAUACAUGACAAUGUUGUAUAUUAUCAGUUCUAUAUCGAGCCAGCACUCUGAAAACAAUCCUAAUAAAGCUAGUCUAAUAAAUCAAGUAUACAAAAAACAAAGUGUACAAAAAAAAGAAAAAAAUGGGUUCUAAAAUUAAUCUUUAAAAAACAACAACAACAAAAACAUUACACAGAGCACAACUUCACAUUACACAUUGCAUUGUUGCUAUCAUGGUUUCUUUAUUUAUCUGUUGGCAGACAGCUUGAUAACCCAGAAACCUUUCUUCCCACCAUCAUGUGGGGAUUUAAAACUUUUCAGAGUUUAAAUUAAGAUGGAUGAAUUUCAUCUUUUCCACAGAAAAUGAUAAGAGUGCAAAAUGCAGGCCUGUUACCAGCACUUAUGUGGGAUAAAUAAAGAACACCAUGGAAUAUAUGCAUCAACUAAAACUAUUAAUGUUAAUAAUUAAUUUAUGCAAUGAAGUUAAUUAAUUACAUUAGCUGGACUUGGUGUAACCUGUAUGCUGUCUUUUUAAUCAUGGAUCUUUAGUCCGUUCCUUCCUAGACUGUCCUACAUAACAAAAACUUCAGCCCAAACUGUCCCUUAUUUGCGCAUUUCAGAGAACCCACAAACUUCCAGAAAUAUAGCUUUGACAUGGCUUCUUUCUUCUUUCAUAAACCCUCUCAUGCCAUGAGCCUCGGGCCUACCACCAAGCAUGUUCAUGUGAUUUUUGUCCCCUUUUUUUCUUUUCUUUUUUUUUUAAGUCACUGGGAUAUUUGGCGUUUAUUUUUGCAACAGUAAUUUUGGAGUUUGUCACACAGUGUCAUUUUAAGGUUUAGUCUGAUCGCCCCUCCAAUUAAGCUGUGUUUCAUCCGUCCCCUGCUCCGUUUGCACCAUGCUUGAACAUUUUCCCAAAGACAGUCUAUAUAUAAAAUAAUCUGCAUUUGAGCUGCAGUAACUAAGAGAUUAUUCGCUGCUUCUAUUUUUUUAAUUCUUGCAACGCACAUCAUUCAUUAAAAGAAAAAUGUAAUUAAGAUAUUGAUUCAGAAAUAAUAAUAAAUAAUCUUAAAAGGGAUAGAGAUGUAAGGUAGCGACCUUUUGUUGUUGGCCAUUUUAAAAAUGAAAGUAAACUUCCUUUUUUAUUUUCAAGAAAUUAUAAUAAUUGAACGCCUUUUUAAAAAAGAAUUAAGGCAGCAUAUUUUGACCACCAUAAGAGGCAUUUUUAGACAAAAAAAAAAUCAAACAUGUUUACAGAAGAAAGAAAAAAACCACUAAGACCAGAUCCAAUAAGUAGUGUUGUGAAACUGUUGACUGAUUUACGAGAUUAUCCACAAGCUUCCCAGUGAAGAACAAAAAAAAAGCGUAACGCAAUAAUGAAUAAAUUUACAGCUAAAACGGAAGCCAGUUCUAUUUAUCAAAUUUUUGCAGUGUGACAGUCUUCAGCUGCCAU
ensembl:lncRNA